GUUUAGAGAAGCCAGCGAGUUAGAUGAGUGUGUUUUGAAAUAGAGACGUGUGUUUCUUUGUUUUUCAGCUCGUUUCCCGAUCGAGAUGAUGAUGAGGCGACGUCCUCUCUCUCUCUGGACAACGACUGCCCAUAUUUCUGCUGUUCGUUAAUUUCUCAUUGCUUUAAGAGAAGAGGAAAAGGAGAAAAGAAUAAUACUAGAUUGAAAAAAGAAGCUGUAAAGUAAAAUUAAAGAAAGAUGUGUUAAAAGUAAACAGAGGGAAACAUUAAUAGAUAAAAGAGAAUGAAGAAGUAUAAGAAAGAGAGAGAUAAAAGAUAAAGAAUGAAUUAAAAGAAAAGUGCAAGUUGAAAAGUAAAUAAAAAAGAUGACCAAAAGGAGCAAAGAAAAAGAGAAAGAGAGACAAGGCGAGAAAGCGAAAUGAAAGAAAGAUAAAUAAACGUAAGACACGAAAUAGAUGACGAUGAAAAGGGGUACAAGAAAAAGAGAAAGAGAGAGAGAAGACAAGAAAGUGAAAAGAUAAAGAUAAAUACACGAAAGACACGAAAAUAAAUUGUCAACAAGGACAUAUUGUGAGUAAUGGUGAUGCCGGUCCCUGAAAUCACCGGCUUCAUUCAUUCGUCGCCUCGCCGUGGGUGGAGGUGCUGGAGGACUCGUCUUAAGUGGUGCGGGGCCUCGCCUCGUGAGGAGCCUCGUGAGAUGACUCGAGGCGUCAUGAAGCAGCUGGUCCCGGGUGGCUAGACAGACACAAACAUAUCAAGUUACCCGCCACCACCACCAUCACCACCUACACAACCCGCAAUCUACCAAAGUGCAAAAUGUUUGGUUUUAAAAAGUAGAAAUUUCACGCCCUGCUUGACAAAUCUCGCCAUGUCAACAAGCAUCAGCCGAUCCCUAAGAGGCUUUCAGAUUUCAAGUGUUGUAGUGGACGCUACUUGACUUGGCGGCUGCACGCCGCGUCGGUGGUCCCGCAGCGACGACCUUGCCGCCGCCACCAGCUUCUACUUCCGACGGCGCCACUAUAGUGAUGUUCGACAUGGCGCGUCCCACCCUCGGCCUUCAUUGCCUCCUAUCCGGAAGUGUGGCUGUUGCAACUCAAAAGGCGCUUCACGGCAUGUGGCGUCACCGCUGCUUCCACGAAAUACCACGAAAUAUCUCACCGCACCGCUGCUACAGCCGCUCGUCGCCCUGAAGGCACGAGUCACUGGAAGCAUCUCAACAUACCAGAGAAAGCAAGACCGUCAGCAGCACAAGGGGUCUGCUGGGCGCCAUGACUCCGGUGCUCACUGCUCACUGGGCCACGCCGAGCAACACACUGACACCGCCGCCCAGACUCCCCGCCCUGGGAAUUACCGUCAUCUCUUUGCCAUCCCCAGAAACACCUGUGCAUGAGAGAGAGAGAGAGAGAGAGAGAGAGAGAGAGAGAGAGAGAGAGAGAGAGAGAGAGAGAGAGAGAGAGAGAGAGAGAGAUUGCUUUUACUAAUUUGCACCUUGCAGAUGGAAAGACUGAGACGGAUAUUCUUAAACAAAUCGGUACUGUAUCUCGAAAAAUCUUAACAGGUUGCAGUGGUAAUUAUUGGUGUUUCCAAAGGUAUUGGUAUCAUUCUGCAUCAUUUAUGGAAAGAAAAACAUUCAUGGAAAAACAAACUAACCUCUGUGGUCUUUGGAGACAGUCUUCAUGAGGAAACAAAGCGUUUAGGAAUAUCAGCCUGGAUUCACGGAAAAAACAGCAUUUAAUGUAAUAAUAAUUAAGGCGAAUUUACUUUAUUUGCUCUUAAUGAAGGGUGAAUCACCGAGCAAAGCAUCAUAUUAUCUCGUCGCUCAUUCAUUUCAUACACACACACACACACACACACACACACACACAGAGAGAGAGAGAGAGAGAGAGAGAGAGAGAGAGGAGGGGGAGAGAGAGGCAUGUUAAAGGGGGACAUAAAUAAAAUCACCUGCAUGUCUGCCUGAAUACCGUCACCUGUCCAAACACUCCUCUUUCCACGCAGCAUGAUGAGCACUUCAGGAGACUAUUCACCGCCGCCUCAGGUACACUCACGACGCGAGGAAAUGGAAUGAACCUCGUGUUUUUAGCAUAUUUUGUGUGUAUCUGGUGUAUUUAUGCUCAUUAGUGAUGAGGAGAAACACACCUGAGUCCUUACCACUACCAUCAUCAUCUCCACGCAACUUGUAUCAACACAGGCUGAAGGACGAUUGGUGUGUGUGUGUGUGUGUGUGUGUCAGUUUAGCUUCCUUGGUAUGUGUAGAAGAAAGAAAACUAUUUAGAACACUGAUUACGUUGUUUGCUAUUAGGGAUCAUCGGAUUUUACAUAUGUCAUCUGAUAACUAAUUUCGGUACCAGACCAACUAUGCCUCACUUCGUUUCAGUAAGUAGAUGAAUAGAUAAGUAAAUAUGAAUUAACAAAUUACAUUAUAUUUAUUCAUGUUUGUUAAAACGUAACAGGUUAUCUUUAAAUCAUACUCUUGUAUUGGUGCUAAACUAGUAACAGUAGCAGUCACCGAUUUUUGUUAUUUUCUUUUUAUUUAUUUAUUUAUUUAUUUAUUUAAUUUAUUUAUUUAUCUAUUUAUUUAUUUAUUUAUUUACUCUGUAUAGUUUCGAAGCUUUCAGUGUGAAGCUUCCCGUUGAUCAUUCAUGGGUCGAACACCGGAAUUUUCAUUCAGUCGAGGACACCAAGACGAGGUGGACGCAAGGAAGGAAGCUGAUAGAGUCUUGUGGUGUGUGGCGGCGGUGGUCUUUGUUCUGCCAUACCCUCAACAUGGUUAGUGACAACCUCAACACACACUGGAUCCAUCGCUUGGCCUAGAGGAGGAACUGUGAUGGAGAAAUGGGUGAACUGGCCAUCGUCGCUGGUGUCCACGUCUGGAAGCCUCAAGCAGACGGAUGAAACCACGUGGAGGUGAGAAACCGCGAUAUCUACUUGAAGACCAUGCAGCCUGACCCGUCCUGGAUGAUGCAGCUCGGUCUCGGGGUCUACAAAGGUUGUAUAUAAUGUUUACUCCACCAUGUACUACCAUAUGAAUUCGUAACAUGGUGAUACACACCUUUCCCCAUGUGGUAAGUGUUCCUUGCUACUGAUGAACCUCACCUUCACUAUUUCCGUGUCUUUCGGGUAAGCUCCCAUAAACUUAUUCAGGCAGAGUAAACUAGCAUAUUUCGAUCCAACAUCGUUAUUCUUUGUUAGCGUCACCUGUCUUUGUGGAGACCCCAGAACCUGCUGCGCUCUUUCUGCCUCCGUGCCAAAUUCUUGCAUAUUAUGCACUUACCAUGUUUAUAUUACUGCAGUUGACACAUAAUGGUUACUCUUUAAUACCUGUACCUAUUGAAUAAUAAAACUAGGCAUUUAGUCUCAAAUAUUGCCAAAAAGUGUCAUAUUGUAAUCACUGCAUUUCAAGGACAUUGUUUUACCCCUGCUUCUACAUAUCAGUUUCUAGAAUGUCAUUCAGUGGUCAGUUCUAGAACAUUGAUACCAUACUGCAAAUAGACUCAAGUUUUGGUUUUGGCUUUCUACAAAGUUUUGUUUUUUUUCAGGUUGCAAGAUGCAUCUCUAGAUGGAGGAAACCAAAGGGACUCCUACACUAAUUGUUCAUGGAGAAAGGAGUCAAACAUGGAGUUCAUUUAUCAUGUGGUCAACAUAGCAGCUCAAUUUCAAAGAACUCCCAAGAGAUGGAAGCCAGAUGAAUGAUAUUAAGUUCUCCUGACCACAUGGUAUGUUUUAAGAUUAUUUUCAGUCCUGGUAUGCUUUAAGAUUAUUUUCAGUCCUGGUAUGUUUUAAGAUUAUUUUCAGUCCUGGUAUGUUUUAAGAUUAUUUUCAGUCCUGAUAAAUUAACGAGGCAUUUAUGGAGUUGCAGAUGGCACGUAAAUAUUGUGUGGCACCCAUAGGAAGAACAUGGGUGGCUAUUCCAUCAGACAAGAUAGAACCCUUUAAAGGUAAGCGGUCAUCGCCAUAGCGUAACACCUAAAAGUAGAUAAAUUUGCUUUCCAUUUUGAAUAAAUAACUAAAUUUAAUAAUGGUCAUCAGUAAUAUAAAGGAAAAGUCUAAAUCCACAUAACAUAGGAACUAGAUGCUUGUGCCUAUUACUUGAAUCUGCUUUCCUGAAUUCUGUAGGGCCUGUAGCACAUGUAGAUAGUUUCUGGAGUUUGGAUAGUCAGAUAGAUUGUUUCCAUGACUGCUUGUAGGUCUCUUCCAUAUAUCUGUCAUUGAAGCUAAAAUUUGAUGCAAGUUCUUGCAAGCUAUUACUACAAUAUCAUGAGAUCACAACUCACACUACCUGUUCCCAGCUAACAUGGAAGAAACUAGUACAAAUAAUCUCAACAUUUUAGUUUCAAACCCAAGCAAGCUAAUCAACAUUGCUGGAAAGAAUAAAAAAAAAACAAGUACUAAUCCGUGUUUUAUUUAGAAGCGAAGCUUUUGGAAAAGCCACCUGUUCUUACCAGACUUGUACCUGAAAAAUAAAUAUAAACGUUAUCCUCUUUAUCAAAAAUAAAUUGGUUAUAAUACACUGCACAAUAUUAACAGCUAAAAAUCAAUUAAACUAAAGUGUAAGCAAAUAAUAUAUAUGUGAGGGAUGAGCCUAGCUUAGAUGAUUAUUCUGUUAUUUGAUCUUGCAGCAGAAGUCGACAAGUUGGCCGUGUGAUGCUCUACUGUUCCACAUUUACCAAUCAGAGAACUCCCUUGUCAAUGGGUAAAUAUAAUUUGAGCUUUUUAGUAUUUGACAAUAAACAUUUAUAAAUUAUUAAGCUUUCCUUAGUGUUUAACAAUAUUAAAAGUGAGCAGUAGUGACAGGAUGUAAAUACAGGAUGGCAGAUCACUCAUCUAUGCACUGGUUUGUGCAAAUCAUAUCGUGAAGAUAUGUGAUGUAUCAGUUGAAACCAAUAAUGGUAUGCAGCCAUUUCAAGUGAUGAGCCUGGCACUAAAAUUACCAACAAGCCUCCACAGGCUGUAGAUGAUAAAUAUAGGUAACUUAGCUUCAUCCCUCAUUAAAGAUGCAAGUUGCAUAGAACUAUUUCAACCAACAAGAAACGCACUGUAAUUCAAACACUACUCAUCUUACACUGUUUUGCUUAGCACCAGCCAUGGUGUAAAUAAGAAUAACUCCAGUAGACCAGGGCUUAUGUCCUGUCACUACAUUAAAGAAGCCAUGUCUCACAAUGUAGCCACUGAUCAAUUUUGACAAGCAUCUUCAAAAACAGUGGUGACAACUCCCUUUAUGAGAUAAAUAUUUUGCAGGAUAAAGGAAACCCCUUGUAGUGCAUCACACCACCAACCAAUUGGACCUGCUGUAGCCUGGAAUUUCAACAUGUUGAGGAAGCAGCAGGUAGGGUACCGAGAUCUGUGGUGUGUAGCUGCAGAUAUAUUUUGAUGAAUGUAUUUAAUGAAAUUAUAUUCAUGUGAUUUCCUAAAGUUAUGGAACAUUACAGUAACGUAUAUCUUUUGAAACAGUUGGUGUUAGAAAUGUAAAUUACAACCAAUAGAUGAGGAAAGUAAGGCCAUAAACCAGUACUGUCAAUGGCCAUGUGGAAUUUAGGAACAAGCAACAAGUGGGAGAGGAGAGGCAAGGUUCAUGAUCUGUCCAGUUUGUCAGAAACUCUUACCCAGACAGUGGAUUAACUUUGCAGACAAUGAUGUGUGCUUACAAGUAAUUAAUUACCGACUGAUCACCAGCUCUGAUAUGCUACACAGCUUUUUUUUUUUACAGUAUUAUUACUCAUACAUUGUGGAACCUCAGUUCUAGAACUUAAUUCAUUCCUGAAUUCAUUCCUGAAUACCAUUCAAAAUCCGAAACUAACUUCCCCAAAGGAAUCAAUAGAAAACAGAUUAAUCCAUUCCCAGACAUCAGUCUACCCUGUCUCAGCAGUUUAUGGCAGAUGCUCCUACAGCCAAGAUGGCAGCUUCACAUCUCCAACUCGCAAAUUAUUUAUCUAGAAAGGAUGUAUUAAAUGAACUUAGAGACAAUGAACCCAUCAAAAGAU